AACGCACAUUGCGCCCCCUGGUAUUCCGGGGGGCAUGCCUGUCCGAGCGUCAUUUCUGCCCUCAAGCACGGCUUGUGCGGUGGGCCCCGUCCUCCGAUCCCGGGGGACGGGCCCGAAAGGCAGCGGCGGCAGCGCGUCCGGUCCUCGAGCGUAUGGGGCUGUGUCACCCGCUCUGUAGGCGCGACCAGCGCUUGCCGAUCAACCCAAAUUUUUAUCCAGGUUGACCUCGGAUCAGGUAGGGAUACCCGCUGAGCUU
rnacentral:misc_RNA from 1 species